CCUACGGGUGGCUGCAGUGGGGGAUAUUGCUCAAUGGGGGCAACCCUGAUGCAGCAACGCCGCGUGGAGGAUGAAGGUUUUCGGAUUGUAAACUCCUUUUGUUAGAGAAGAUAAUGACGGUAUCUGGCGAAUAAGCACCGGCUCACUCCGUGCCAGCAGCCGCGGUAAUCCGGAGGGUGCAAGCGUUAUUCGGAUGCACUGGGCGUAAAGAGCGCGUAGGCGGGAUAGUAAGCCAGAGGUGAAAUCCUAGGGCUCAACCACAGGACUGCUUUUGAAACUGUUAGGCUAGAGUAGGGGAGGGGUAGGCGGAAUUCGUGGUGUAGGGGUGAAAUGCGGAGAGAUUAAGAGGAAUACCGGUGGCGAAGGCGACCUGCUAGACUAUAACUGACGCUGAGGCGCGAAGGCGUGGGGAGCAAACAGGAUUAGAUACCCGAGUAGUC
rnacentral:rRNA from 1 species